rnacentral:tRNA from 2 species
CGGUGUAGCUCAGUUGGUAGAGCAGCGCAUUCGUAAUGCGAAGGUCGGAGGUUCAAGUCCCCUCUCCGG